rnacentral:rRNA from 1 species
GACGAACGCUGGCGGCGUGCUUAACACAUGCAAGUCGAACGGUAAGGCCCUUCGGGGUACACGAGUGGCGAACGGGUGAGUAACACGUGGGUGAUCUGCCCUGCACUUCGGGAUAAGCCUGGGAAACUGGGUCUAAUACCGGAUAGGACUCCGGACUGCAUGGUCUGGGGUGGAAAGCUUUUGCGGUGUGGGAUGGGCCCGCGGCCUAUCAGCUUGUUGGUGGGGUGAUGGCCUACCAAGGCGACGACGGUUAGCCGGCAGGGGAGGGUGACCGGCCAAACUGGGACUGAGAGACGGCCCAGACUCCUGCGGGAGGCAGCAGUGGGGAAUAUUGCACAAUGGGCGCAAGCCUGAUGCAGCGACGCCGCGUGAGGGAUGACGGCCUUCGGGUUGUAAACCUCUUUCAGCAUCGACGAAGCGAAAGUGACGGUAGGUGCAGAAGAAGGACCGGCCAACUACGUGCCAGCCGCCGCAGUAA